CAGAGUCUUCAGGAUGCAGUCUGGACUCUCCAGAAAACCACUCAGAUGUUUCACUCCUGAAUCCUGCAGCUUGUUCCAGCUCAGGUCCAGAUGUUCCAGAUGGGAGGGGUUGGACUUCAGAGCUGAGACCAGAGAAUCACAGCUGAUC